GGCUGUAUAGCUCAGUGGUAGAGCAUUUGACUACAGAAUCCUAUACUCAGGGGAAGGAGAACUGGGGGUUUCUCAGUGGGUCAAAGGACUUGUAGUGGUAAAUCAAAAGCAACUCUAUAAGCUAUGUAACAAACUUUAAAGUCAUAUGUAGCUGGGUUCAAAUCCUGUUUCUGCCA
rnacentral:tRNA from 2 species